AGAGUUUGAUCCUGGCUCAGAUUGAACGCUGGCGGUAUGCUUAACACAUGCAAGUCGAACGGUAACAGGAAAAGCUUGCUUUUCGCUGACGAGUGGCGGACGGGUGCGUAAUGCGUAGGAAUCUGCCUAGUAGUGGGGGACAACUCGGAGAAAUUCGAGCUAAUACCGCAUAAGCCCUACGGGGGAAAACGGGGGAUCUUCUGACCUCGUGCUAUUAGAUGAGCCUACGUUAGAUUAGCUUGUUGGUGAGGUAAAAGCUCACCAAGGCGACGAUCUAUAGCUGGUCUGAGAGGAUGAUCAGCCACACUGGGACUGAGACACGGCCCAGACUCCUACGGGAGGCAGCAGUGGGGAAUAUUGGACAAUGGGCGAAAGCCUGAUCCAGCAAUACCGCGUGUGUGAAGAAGGCCUGAGGGUUGUAAAGCACUUUCAAUUGGGAGGAAUACCUAAUGGUUAAUAGCCAUUAGAUUGAC
rnacentral:rRNA from 1 species